rnacentral:sRNA from 2 species
ACAACCUCACUUAUAGAUCAUUUCUCUACCACCUUGGAGGGUUAAUUUUCCAAUUUCCUAUCGAUUGAACUAAUUUUUAUUCAAAAAUACAUAUAUUUCACCCAACGCCUUGAUCUUGCCAUCAAAACAUAUAUCCGGUCAUCAGUAGCUCUAGCCAAAGCACCGAGUGUAUUUUCUGAUGACUUCUGACAUCUUUUGGUGAUGUCCAACAACUUCUGGCAACUUCUGUCAACUUCGCAUAACUCUUGACCACCUCACACAGCACAUCAACUUCUGACAACAUCUGGGAUCUUUCAACAACUUGUGGGAUCUUUUGACAACUUCUGGACCAAUCACAUAACACCUUUUUUUGACAGCUGGGUCAGACAACUCUGUUGAAUAUGGCCAAGGGGGAUCGAAGAAAACGCAAAAGUCAGCAACAACGGCGGCUUCAAAAGCUAUCAUUUAAAGCAAAUACUUUCCAUGAAAAUUGAAGACAUGCCACAAGUUGUUAUGAGUUACGCUGAACCCGAAAGUAUCGACAAGCAACAGGAUGUUAUUGAGCAUUGUCUUCGACGAAUCCUUCAAGGCCCGCGUCCAGAUCCUAAAUGCACUCUUCGGCCACACAUAGAACAAGUCCGUAUGCUCCGGCGCAUGAUAUAUGGAUAUGGCGACACUUUAUUCAUUGCCAGAACUGGCUAUGGAAAGAGUCUUAUUCUUCAAUCCUAUACAAUUCUGACAGGGAAGAUAACCAUUCAACUGAUUCCUCUAAACAAGCUUGGUGAUCAGCAGACAGAUGAUAUAGCUCAGUUUCCCUCUACCAAUCCUUGUCUGAUCAGUGCCAGCAAUCUCCAGGGAGAAGAGCACUUACUCAAACGUAUCCAACAGUGUGAAUAUACACAUAUCUUACUCAGUCCAGAGCAAGCGCUUUCCAAGCAGUUUCAGUGUAUCCUUCAAGACCCUACUUUACAAGAAAAGAUUGGGCUUGUAGCUAUUGAUGAGUGUCAUCUUAUCACUCAGUGGAGUGGAUUCCGUGGUCAGUUUGCCAGGCUGGGGCAUCUGAGAUUGCUUUUGCGUGAGGACAUUGUCUGGUUUGGCUGUUCUGCAACCCUCAGCAGUAAAGAUGAAGAUAUUAUUCUUCAAAAUGCUGGAUUUCGUUCUGUUGGUGAUAAUCCACGGCAGACUCAGAUUAUUCGAACCUCCAUUAACCGUCCUGAUAUUUUUAUUGGUAUACAUCCAAUUCCACGUGGUAAAUUAGCAUCCUAUGAUAUGCUAUAUUUCUUAUUGAAUGAGGCCGUUGAUACAGAUGGAA